UACAGAGGUCCCAAGCGUUGUUCGGAUUCACUGGGCGUAUAGGGUGCGUAGGUGGUGAGGUAAGUCGGAUGUGAAAGCUCGGAGCUCAACUCCGAAAUGGCAUUGGAAACUACCUGGCUUGAGGGUUGGAAGGGGGACUGGAAUUCUCGGUGUAGCAGUGAAAUGCGUAGAUAUCGAGAGGAACACCAGUGGCGAAGGCGAGUCCCUGGACAAUACCUGACACUGAGGCACGAAAGCUAGGGGAGCAAACAGG
rnacentral:rRNA from 1 species